rnacentral:rRNA from 1 species
ACUGGGAUAACUUCGGGAAACCGGAGCUAAUACCGGAUAAUAUUUUGAACCGCAUGGUUCAAAAGUGAAAGACGGUCUUGCUGUCACUUAUAGAUGGAUCCGCGCUGCAUUAGCUAGUUGGUAAGGUAACGGCUUACCAAGGCGACGAUGCAUAGCCGACCUGAGAGGGUGAUCGGCCACACUGGAACUGAGACACGGUCCAG